UGAGGCUAAAAUUAGAUUCUACUUCCUGGUUGGUCGGACUACCUUCAAUCCAAAGGUGCACAUGCCAUACGCAAUCUGUGUUUCAAAAAUGCUGAAAUAUAUUUACUUGGCAAGUUUUGUACAAAUAUGCUGUGGGCAGGCUAUCACAACCAUAGAUGCCUCUUUUCCACAACAUGCGGAACUCUACAGUGCACAGAGAAUAUCCUGUAGCAUAGCUGGAACACUGAAAACUGGUGUUCAGUGGAUCAGGCCUGAUGCUCUUUUGGUAUCUUCAUGUGCAGGUGCUACAAAUUGUCUGCCAGAUUCAGGAUACAGUAAUCCUGUAGCCACUACCACA